CACAUGCAGUCGAGCGGUAGAGAGAAGCUUGCUUCUCUUGAGAGCGGCGGACGGGUGAGUAAUACCUAGGAAUCUGCCUGAUAGUGGGGGAUAACGUUCGGAAACGGACGCUAAUACCGCAUACGUCCUACGGGAGAAAGCAGGGGACCUUCGGGCCUUGCGCUAUCAGAUGAGCCUAGGUCGGAUUAGCUAGUUGGUGAGGUAAUGGCUCACCAAGGCUACGAUCCGUAACUGGUCUGAGAGGAUGAUCAGUCACACUGGAACUGAGACACGGUCCAGACUCCUACGGGAGGCAGCAGUGGGGAAUAUUGGACAAUGGGCGAAAGCCUGAUCCAGCCAUGCCGCGUGUGUGAAGAAGGUCUUCGGAUUGUAAAGCACUUUAAGUUGGGAGGAAGGGCAUUAACCUAAUACGUUGGUGUCUUGACGUUACCGACAGAAUAAGCACCGGCUAACUCUGUGCCAGCAGCCGCGGUAAUACAGAGGGUGCAAGCGUUAAUCGGAAUUACUGGGCGUAAAGCGCGCGUAGGUGGUUUGUUAAGUUGAAUGUGAAAUCCCCGGGCUCAACCUGGGAACUGCAUCCAAAACUGGCAAGCUAGAGUAUGGUAGAGG
rnacentral:rRNA from 1 species